GCUACAAAAGAGGAGGAAAGCUCGGUUAAUUUCUUCUCCGAGCGUGCAGGUAGCGCACGGAGGACACGGAGCUCUAGAUGACCUAACACUCCCCUGCGGCCCCUGCCACGGUGCUGGGCCUGGCCGACCAGCGUCUGGCUGCUCUGCCUUUGCCCAGGCUGUGUCCCUGCUGGGGCACCUUGUCCGUGCUCCCUGCUUGUCUGCAUCCUACCCGGCCUUGAGGAUGCACACGGCCCUCUGGACCCCCAUCUCUGCCCCCUGCGCGCCCGUUAUCCCCAGCUUCUGCGCGUCCCGCAACUUCCUCUCCAGGAGAGGCCGCUGCAGAGCUCGUGUUUAUGCAGCCUUGUAGUAACGCUCUGUUGCCUAGCGAUGGUCACAGUAAUAAAAUAAUACAUUCUAUCCGUUCAGCACUUAAAAGCAGCUAACAUUUAUUGGAUACUUUGUGUCAGGCACCGUGCUAGACCUCUACAAAAGUUUUAUUAUUUAAACUGCACAAUUCCGCGAUCUGGUAGCUGAGAACUGCCAUCUCCACACAGGACAACCGAGUCUGACAAAGGACUGUGACCGCCCCCGUCACAGAGGCUGUCAAUGGCAAGGCACUGUGGCUGGAACAGACCCCAAUAUGCAGUGUUUCAGAAACCAAAAAACAGGAAGACACGUAGAAAGGGAAGCAGCAGAUGUGACUCUCAUUUCUGUCACCACUUUAACAUGUGUGGGAAAGUGUGUGUUGCCCAACACGGGCGAAGAUGCGUUCGCGUUCGCACACCGGGCUGGGCUGCGGUACCCGCCGGGCAUCUCGCUGCUGGAUCUCCGGGAGGCUGUCGCUGACCCCUUACGCUACCCACGGCGGUCUCUGACGGCCCUUCUAGCGUGACUGCGCACCAAGGCUUUGUUUUUAAUUUACGACCAUGGCACCACGGAGCUAAAUGUGUUCUCUCAUUGGCUUCUGGACUUUUUGGGAACAUGGGGGCACACGUGGAGCACAUGGACAGAGUCACACAUGAGUGUUUAAGCAGCGUCCUAAGUCCUCGUUUCCUUUGGUCCCACUGUAUGCAUCCACUGACAUUUUAUCUUGUUGCUUUUGAUAUAUUUGAGUAAACUAUUUUAUGCUUUUUUGGGAAUAAGAUGGGUAUAGUUCACAAAUUUAAUAUAAAUUUAAUAAAGUGACAUUCUGGAUAUUUUGGGGGUAUAAAGUAGCUGAUUUAAUAGGCUUAAAUAACACUCUGCUAAUAGAUGGCAACAACAUGGUCCCAGUGGCAAGAAAAGUCAAUUCUACAUGGACGGUAACACCAACACUCAAAACAUUUUUUGCCAUAUUGGUGUUUCCUCUGGAAAGUUGGGGGGGGGUGCCCUUCCCCAGGCCGAGCCCCCUGACGGUGCAGCCUGCCUCCCGGCUCAGAACGAGGUGGCCUGCCCACGAUCCCAGAAUGGAGUUACCUUUAAAAAUUCCUUGAACUCCGUGUCUUCGUCCGUCUUCUGCUGUAACAGAGCUGCUCCGUUCAGCUGGCAGCUACAGAACCGGAUGUAAGCCUGCAUGUGGGACAGCUCAGCGGCCAGGAUGUCCCCGAUCGUCUGCACCGGCAUCUUCUCUCCUCCCGUCUUCUUCCGGACCCGCAAGGCCCUGCAACCAACACACUCCCAUGUGGGCUCCAUGCCCAACUUGGGACUUGCGCUCACAACC